GGAGGGGGCAAGCGUUGUUCGGAAUUAUUGGGCGUAAAGCGUAUGUAGGCGGUCGGAUAAGUCAGACGUGUAAGCCCACGGCUUAACCGUGGAAUUGCGUUUGAAACUGUCCGUCUUGAGUGCAAAAGAGGAAAGCGGAAUUCCCAGUGUAGCGGUGAAAUGCAUUGAUAUUGGGAAGAACAUCUGUGGCGAAGGCGGCUUUCUGGUUUGCAACUGACGCUGAGAUACGAAGGCCAGGGGAGCGAACGGGGAUUGGGAUACCCCGGUAGUCCUGGCUGUAAACGAUGGGCACUAGGUGUAGGAGGUAUCGAUCCCUUCUGUGCCGCAGCUAACGCAUUAAGUGCCCCCGCCUGGGGAGUACGGUCGCAAGGCUG
rnacentral:rRNA from 1 species